CUGGACUCCUCCAAGGCCAGCUGCCCCUGCCUGUCCGAUGCCAUGGGCACAGGGUGGCUGCUGUUACUGCUACUGGGGAGAGGCCCUGUGGUGGGAUGUCUUGCCCCCAUCCUCGUCUGGCACUGGGUGCCUACCUGCCUGCAGGGAGACCAGUCUGCUUCAGUCUUUAGCAUUUGCCUAGGUACAGAACAGGAACUUGAUGAACAUGAGCUGAUUGAAUGAAUGAAUGAACUGGAGGCAACACCAGACCCAAAAGCCCUGGGAGCAAGAAGCCGUAAUGAACAGCCAGAACUUGCUUGGCCUCCAGACCUGUAUGAUGGGGUCCCUUCACCUUGCAGCUUGCUGUUCCUCUGGCCACACUCCUGGCGUCACCAGGCCUAAGCCCCUGGGGACCAGCUUAUCUGGAGAUGUUCCAGAGCCUGGCACCCUGUAGAAAGGGACACCAGGCAUACGUAGCCUCUUCCUCAGUGGCCUCUCCAGUUGGAUGCCCAAACCCAUGUUUCACAUACGUUGUCCAGCUUGAUAUUUAAACCAAAAACCUGGGAGCCAGCCUCGGGGAACCCCUGGCCCUCAUCCUCUUGCCACCAGUCGCCAAGGCCUCCAGCUUCUGCCUCUUACAUCUCAUGGAUUUGGUCACCUCGUUCCAUCUUAUUACCACUGAUGGGCCUGUCCACCAUGGCCUGUCACCUGGACCUCAAUGGCAGCCUCCUAGGUAUCCUCCACCCCAUGCUUCCAACCAACCUCACACCUUGUCAAGCUUCUUAUAAAUGAUCUCUAAGGUUCUGCAGCUACGGGGCCUUGGCUGCUCUGCCCCGUCCAUGACACACAGACUCCAAGCUGCUCACUCCUGGAGUUCCACUGGGCCUUAUAGAUGCUGUUCCCUCACAGAGAACAUUCUUGUCGCAUACUCUGGGGGCCUUCCUUUGUGCUCUUUACCCAAGACUGGGUCAGAGUCCCCCUCCAGGAGCUUCCCUCUCCCCUCACACAGCACAAUCAAUGGCUCUUGGUUCUCUGCUCCUAGAAACUGCUAAGGUCAUAACAGGCCCCAGCGAGGCCUGGGACACAAGUCACACGUCUAGAACCUUCAUUCAGGGGAGAUUCAUGGGGCAAACAAGAAGACAAGAGAUGGCUGCUCUCACAGGCUGGACCACUGAGGGAAGGUCUGGGAGCCCAGGAAGGACAAGAAGUUUUGAUUGGGGUGGUAAGCUUGUGGCAGAGUUGAGGCUCCCCCUUGCUUUUCCCGGGGAAGCUGAGCGCCAAGGAACCCAGCAGAGCUUCAGCCCUCCAAGCCUCUGUCUCCAGAAAGGGUCAAGGCUGCCUGUCAGCUGCCACCACAUCUUCAGCAGCAGCCUGGAGAUGAACACACCUCUUAGGAACAGAUGUGAAGGUGUCUCACUCCCAUUCCCAGCCAUGCCAGGGAGAGAGGUGCUGCUCCCAGAGUCUACCACAACCCUGAGUGGACAGCUUUGAAAAUUCUUUACUUAAAAAAAAUUCUUGGGCUGGAGAGAUGGCUCAGCAUUGGUUGUUCUUGCAGAAGACCCGGGUUUGAAUCCCAGCACCCACAUGGCAACUAACAACUGUC